UUUUAUCACCAUGUGAAGUACUGAACAGAUCUUGAGAGUGAAUUUCAUGCCUCUUACCGGCUGCUAGUGAAAGUGUCCCCUGAAUUGCCUGCAGCCUGAUGGUAACUGUCCUGCAGAACCAGCACCAGCAACCUACAGGCAAGCUCUUCCAACACUGGUGUGCCAAUAGGUCUGGAAAAGGUGGAUUAUUUAUUUCCAAGAGAACAUUAUAAAUCACCAGGUGUCACUGAGAAAGUGAUGGAGGAAUACACAUUUCCAGUUUUGGACAGAAAGAAGCAGCAGGGACAACGAUGCAAGAGAUCUUUCAAAGCAUGUGAAGUUUUCUAUAAAUUAAGAAAUGAAGACAAUGAGGUCAC